CCUUGACAUCCAGAGAACUUAGCAGAGAUGCUUUGGUGCCUUCGGGAACUCUGAGACAGGUGCUGCAUGGCUGUCGUCAGCUCGUGUUGUGAAAUGUUGGGUUAAGCCGCAACGAGCGCAACCCUUAUCCUUUGUUGCCAGCGGUUCGGCCGGGAACUCAAAGGAGACUGCCGGUGAUAAACCGGAGGAAGGUGGGGAUGACGUCAAGUCAUCAUGGCCCUUACGGCCAGGGCUACACACGUGCUACAAUGGCGCAUACAAAGAGAAGCGACCUCGCGAGAGCAAGCGGACCUCAUAAAGUGCGUCGUAGUCCGGAUUGGAGUCUGCAACUCGACUCCAUGAAGUCGGAAUCGCUAGUAAUCGUAGAUCAGAAUGCUACGGUGAAUACGUUCCCGGGCCUUGUACACACCGCCCGUCACACCACGGGAGUGGGUUGCAAAAGAAGUAGGUAGCUUAACCUUCGGGAGGGCGCUUACCACUUUGUGAUUCAUGACUGGGGUGAAGUCGUAACAAGGUAAGCGUAGCGAG
rnacentral:rRNA from 1 species